CUAUACAGUGUUGGUGAAGGCCACAACAAGAACAUUCCGGAAUGUAGUUCAUAUUUCCUUCCAAAAGCUGCCAUUGGAUUUAUCACAAACUUUGCAUCAAGCCUGUUCGAUUCUCAGAGUUCCACUUCGCAUUCACGUUGCAAUGAUUCUGAAGAUCAAAGUGACUCUGAGGUCCCUGUUCAAGAAGUAACAGAAUCAUAUGAAAUCUCUGAAUCAAGUUCAGGCGAAGUGGAUAUGGCCAUGAUGAUCAACUUACCUACUGAAGGAAAAGAAAUUACCAAGACACUGGACUCAACUCCUCUAGAGUUUUAUAUUUUGAUCAUGACACUUUUUAUAUUUUCAUCUUUUCUAGGUCACAAAGAGUUGGGUGAAGAAUGUCCAGCAAGAAUGGAGCAAUUUGGAGGCAAUUCUUCUCGACACAAUAUACGUGCGUGUGUAUGAAGAAAGGAUGGACCUUUUGCGGGCAGCCCUAGUUGGUGCCCCUGGAACACCAUACCACGAUGGACUUUUCUUUUUCGACAUUAUGCUUCCACCUCAAUAUCCACAUGAGCCACCAAUGGUACAUUAUCAUUCAGGUGGGAUGCGACUAAAUCCUAACCUGUAAGAGUCAGGAAGAGUCUGCCUAAGUCUGCUGAAUACAUGGAAUGGCUCUGGCACUGAAGUAUGGAACUUGGGGGAGCUCCUCCAUCCUUCAAGUUCUAGGCCUUACGUGAAAAAAUCAAAAUCAAAAAUCAAAAGCUUCUAAUUCGGUCUGGUUCAGAACCGGAUGAGUCUGCAGGAUCACACCGGUUUGCAAAAUUAGUGAUGGUCUUGUCCGGUUAAAUAGUAAAUUUUGUAGGGUUUAUGAAAUAAUCAUGAUACAAUUACUGGCUAGACACUAACACUAUGAAUAGAAAGGUGUGUUUCCAAAACGGUUAAUAAUCUUAAGAA